GACGAACGCUGGCGGCGCGCCUAACACAUGCAAGUCGAACGAGCGAGAGAGAGCUUGCUUUCUCGAGCGAGUGGCGAACGGGUGAGUAACGCGUGAGGAACCUGCCUCAAAGAGGGGGACAACAGUUGGAAACGACUGCUAAUACCGCAUAAGCCCACGGUGCCGCAUGGCACAGAGGGAAAAGGAGCAAUCCGCUUUGAGAUGGCCUCGCGUCCGAUUAGCUAGUUGGUGAGGUAAUGGCCCACCAAGGCGACGAUCGGUAGCCGGACUGAGAGGUUGAACGGCCACAUUGGGACUGAGACACGGCCCAGACUCCUACGGGAGGCAGCAGUGGGGAAUAUUGCACAAUGGGGGAAACCCUGAUGCAGCGACGCCGCGUGGAGGAAGAAGGUCUUCGGAUUGUAAACUCCUGUUGUUGAGGAAGAUAAUGACGGUACUCAACAAGGAAGUGACGGCUAACUACGUGCCAGCAGCCGCGGUAAAACGUAGGUCACAAGCGUUGUCCGGAAUUACUGGGUGUAAAGGGAGCGCAGGCGGGAAGACAAGUUGGAAGUGAAAUCUAUGGGCUCAACCCAUAAACUGCUUUCAAAACUGUUUUUCUUGAGUAGUGCAGAGGUAGGCGGAAUUCCCGGUGUAGCGGUGGAAUGCGUAGAUAUCGGGAGGAACACCAGUGGCGAAGG
rnacentral:rRNA from 1 species